rnacentral:rRNA from 1 species
UACGUAGGGUGCAAGCGUUGUCCGGAAUUAUUGGGCGUAAAGAGCUCGUAGGCGGUUUGUCGCGUCUGCUGUGAAAACUCGGGGCUUAACUCCGGGCCUGCAGUGGGUACGGGCAGACUAGAGUGCGGUAGGGGAGACUGGAAUUCCUGGUGUAGCGGUGAAAUGCGCAGAUAUCUGGAGGAACACCGGUGGCGAAGGCGGCAUCCUGGACCGAGAUUGACGCUGAGGCGCGAAAGCCAGGGGAGCAAACGGG